rnacentral:rRNA from 1 species
GAGCGCUGGCGGAAGAAUAAGUCUGAUGUGAAAGCCCUCGGCUUAACCGAGGAACUGCAUCGGAAACUGUUUUUCUUGAGUGCAGAAGAGGAGAGUGGAACUCCAUGUGUAGCGGUGGAAUGCGUAGAUAUAUGGAAGAACACCAGUGGCGAAGGCGGCUCUCUGGUCUGCAACUGACGCUGAGGCUCGAAAGCAUGGGUAGCGAACAGGAUUAGAUACCCUGGUAGUCCAUGCCGUAAACGAUGAGUGCUAAGUGUUGGGAGGUUUCCGCCUCUCAGUGCUGCAGCUAACGCAUUAAGCACUCCGCCUGGGGAGUACGACCGCAAGGUUGAAACUCAAAGGAAUUGACGGGGGCCCGCACAAGCGGUGGAGCAUGUGGUUUAAUUCGAAGCAACGCGAAGAACCUUACCAGGUCUUGACAUCUAGUGCAAUCCGUAGAGAUACGGAGUUCCCAUCGGGGACACUAAGACAGGUGGUGCAUGGCAGUCGU